UUAUGAAGGGCUUCAUAGAUUAGGGAGUAAACUGGCUAUUUUUAAAGGUUUGAGGUAAAACCAUUAAAGUGACCAAACCACAGAGAGCAAAACGGAAGUUUACUCUAUUCAUAAUCUCCGUCCCAACAACCCAUGCCUCAUGUCUUCAUGUCUUUAUAAUCCCCGGCCCAAUAGUUCCAGCAGCCCAACAAACACGAUCCGGUUCCAGUGAAGCCCACAUGUAUAUAUCUUCUUUUGCCCGACCCCUACGAUGAGGUUCGCCAUUGCAUCUCCACUU
rnacentral:lncRNA from 1 species